AGGAGCCGUAUGCCUUAAUUGGGCACGUACGGAUCUGUGCGGGAGGGCGGGCAACCGGCAGGCAUCCCUACCGCGAU
rnacentral:misc_RNA from 1 species